rnacentral:rRNA from 1 species
UACGUAGGGAGCGAGCGUUGUCCGGAAUUACUGGGCGUAAAGGGUGCGUAGGUGGCUUGGCAAGUCAGAUGUGAAAUCCCCGGGCUUAACUCGGGUGCUGCAUUUGAAACUGCUGAGCUUGAGUGCAGGAGAGGAAAGCGGAAUUCCUAGUGUAGCGGUGAAAUGCGUAGAUAUUAGGAGGAACACCAGUGGCGAAAGCGGCUUUCUGGACUGUUACUGACACUGAGGCACGAAAGCGUGGGGAGCAAACAGGAUUAGAUACCCUGGUAGUCCACGCUGUAAACGAUGGAUACUAGGUGUGGGGGAGAUACAACCUCCGUGCCGGAGCAAACGCAAUAAGUAUCCCGCCUGGGGAGUACGGCCGCAAGGCUGAA